GACGAACGCUGGCGGCGUGCUUAAAACAUGCAAGUCGAACGGACUUCUCAUGAAGCUUGCGAUUGAGAAGUUAGUGGCGGACGGGUGAGUAACGCGUGGGCAACCUGCCCCUGAGCCCGGGAUAACAGUUCGAAAGGACUGCUAAGACCGGAUAUACUUGCGGUGAAGCAUUUCACUGCAAGGAAAGGGAACGCUCAGGGAUGGGCCCGCGUCCCAUUAGCUAGUUGGUGAGGUAACGGCCCACCAAGGCGACGAUGGGUAGCCGGCCUGAGAGGGUGAACGGCCACACUGGGACUGAGACACGGCCCAGACUCCUACGGGAGGCAGCAGUAGGGAAUCUUCCGCAAUGGACGAAAGUCUGACGGAGCAACGCCGCGUGAGUGAAGAAGGUUUUCGGAUCGUAAAACUCUGUUGUCAGAGAAGAACAAGUUGGAGAGUAACUGCUCCAGCCUUGACGGUAUCUGACCAGAAAGCCACGGCUAACUACGUGCCAGCAGCCGAC
rnacentral:rRNA from 1 species